rnacentral:rRNA from 1 species
GUCAGCUCGUGUCGUGAGAUGUUGGGUUAAGUCCCGCAACGAGCGCAACCCUCGCUGCCAGUUGAUUACUCUGGCGGGACCGCCGGGACAAACCCGGAGGAAGGUGGGGAUGACGUCAAGUCAGCACGGCUCUUACGCCUGGGGCUACACACACGCUACAAUGGCCGGUACAGAGGGCCGCUAAGCCGCGAGGCGGAGCAAAUCCCAGAAAGCCGGUCUCAGUUCGGAUUGCAGGCUGCAACUCGCCUGCAUGAAGUCGGAGUUGCUAGUAAUCGCGGAUCAGCACGCCGCGGUGAAUACGUUCCCGGGCCUUGUACACACCGCCCGUCACACCACGAAAGCAUGCAACACCCGAAGCCGGUGAGCUAACCCUUUACUGGGAGGCAGCCGUCGAAGGUGGGGCAAGUGAUUGGGGUGAAGUCGUAACAAGGUAGCCGUAUCGGAAGGUGCGGCUGGAUCACCUCCUUU